GUUGCAAAGCAGCAUGUGGACAAGGGUGGGUAACUCUUACUACACAGCAGCAUGUGGACAAGGGUGGGUAACUCUUACUACACAGCAGCAUGUGGACAGGUGGGUAACUCUUACUACACAGCAGCAUGUGGACAAGGGUGGGUAACUCUUACUACACAGCAGCAUGUGAACAAAGGUGGGUAACUCUUACUACACAGCAGCAUGUGGACAAGGGUGGGUAACUCUUACUACACAGCAGCAUGUGGACAAAGGCAUUUAACUCUUACUACACAGCAGCAUGUGGACAAGGGCAGG